ACAGAGAAUGGACACACACUAAUCAAUGGGAAUUUCGUAAGUGCGCCUUUAAAGGUGCUGGUUAGAUGUCAAUGAAACUGUUGUGCCUGCUUCUCUUCCAACUCAAGAGAGAGCAUCACGUCAUUUCAUCCACGAGUGAGGCAGAGAGUGACGGAGCUGCUGGGUGAGCCAGGACCAGAACAGGUGGGGCAUCUGCCACCGGCAUCCCUCGGAGCCUUCAUGACAAUACAGAGUGAGAGGCCUGCCUGUGCUCUUACGAAAAAGUGGGGGAAAGAGCUUACUGUCUGAGGAUUUACUCUGCAGUUCAGACAACCUUUGACAUUGGCAUGAUUGCUGCACCCAACAUGAUGAAGGAGACCCAGGAUUCUGAAGGAGACCCAGGAUUCUGAAGGAGACCCAGGAUUCUGAAGGAGACGCAGGACUUUGAUGACUGCCCCUGAGAAACUUCCCCCAGGGCUAAAGACACAUUUGUGCAGCUUGGAAGGUAUUGUCCCUUCCUCUGAGGAGACACGUCCUUGUACCAGGGAAGCAGUGAGCAAAGGAUGGCUGGGCUCCCACCUUCUGUUUUCGUCUUUUUAAAAAAAAUAUAUUUUAUUGAUUUUUUACAGAGAGGAAGGGAGAGGGAUAGAGAGUUAGAAACACUGAUCAGCUGCCUUCUACAUGCCUCCUACUGGGGAUGUGCCCGCAACCAAGGUACAUGCCCUUGACUGGAAUCGAACCUGGGACCAUUCAGUCCGCAGGCCGAUGCUCUAUCCACUGAGCCAAACCAGUUAGGGCUCUGUUUUCCUCUUGAUUGGGUCCCAUGUUCAGUGAGAGCCUGUGCCACCGUGUCAGGGGCGCUGAGUACACCUGGCAGUAAGUGAGCUGGAUAACAAUCUACCUGGUUUGCUUAUUUUUUAUUAAAGCAAACUGUCUGUACCCUUCAGGUUUGUAUCACACACACUGCAGUGAGACGUUAGGGGUGGUUAUUUUCAUUUUGGAAGUGUAUUCACUUUGUAACGGGGCAUAUAGUUAUUUUUUUAAAAAAUAAUUACUCCCAUUAUUCAACUUACAAAUCACAGAAUAAGGAGUCACUGUUUAAGGGGUACAGUUCCAGUUUCUUUUUGUUGUUGUUGUUAAUCCUUUCCUGAGAUAUUUUUUCUAUUGAUUUUUAGAGAGAGUAAAAGGGAGGAAGAAGGGCAGGGGAGAGAGAGAAACAUUGAUGUGACAGAAACAAAUCGUUUUUGAUUGCCUCACAGAAACACCCUGACCAGGGCCGGGGAGCACACCCACAACCCAGGUAUGUGCCCUUGACCGGGAAUCCAGCCCAUAACUGUUCAGUGUGCUGGGAGAUGCUCUAACCACUGAGCACACUGGCCAGGGCUACAGUUCCAGUUUUGCAGGAUGAAAAGGGUUCUGUGGAUGGAUGGUGGUGUCAGCAGAACAGCCACGUGAAUGCACUAAUGCCUCCUAACUGUGCACUUAAAAAAAGGUUAAGAUGGUACAUUUUAUGUUAUGCAUAUUUUGCUACUAUUGAACAAUUUUAAUUUCACCUCUAACAUGUGAAACGAAUCAUAAAUUGCCUACUAUGUGCCAGAUGUUGAAGUAGUUACUUUGCAUACAUUAUUCCUGAUGAAAAUUAUUAUUCUCUUCUGUUCACAGGAGUUAAAAUAAUUUCAUGAGGUUAUGUAAUUAAGCAGCAGAAGUGCAAUCUGAACCCAGGUCCCCGUAGUCUGUCUAUUACCCUACACUUCUGCUACCUAUGUGGAACCACCAUACUUGUGUGCACAUGCAUGCACACAUGGACACACACACACUUCUAUAUUUUUAUCUUGAUAUAUAAUACAUAUUAUUCCUUAGAUUACAUUAAUUGUGUUAGUUACUAUUAAUUACUGUAAAUACAAAUGCUGAGUCUAACCACUUAAUUAAUAUAGCCACGUUAAUCCACAUAAUCGCCUUAUGGUAAGUGGCAUGGACCAAUUCUCAUUGCUAAACAGUCUUAGAGGAGGGGCUGCCCGAACACAGCCAGCUUCCUGGUUGCCUCAGGAAGCAGGGAAUUAGACUGAUUGCUCAGGCUGCAGGCCUUGUAAUUACAACCUGGCAUUUUAGAAAUGGCAAUUUAAAGUUUCAGCUCCAAAAAAGCUUAAGACCAAGUCUAGCAUCUGACAUUUCUCUCUCUCACAGUUUUAGGAAAAGAAUAAAUUCCUUAACAUGUAUCUAGUGGAAGUUGUACAAGAUUUUUUUUUUUAAUCUCUGAAUGAACUUCAUAUGUGUUCACUGUGUUGCGAGCACAGCCUGCCUGGUGCGGACACAGACUGUGUCCCUGGUAAACAAGAUGGCCACAGCCUUGCUCGAGCACGCGUUUCCGAAGCGAUGGGCCAGAGGCCGGGUAAUUGGCUGCCUCCCGGUUUGAUUUCCGUGAGAAAGCCUUGAAUAAAAUUCCCCACUUGAGAAACACAUCUGUCAGGUGAUGUCAACGCCUGGCUUACUCCUCUUCCUGUUGGGUUGCAAGCACGGCAUUCCUCAUGGCCCCGGAAUGCUGGCAUGGUCCAGUGGCCAAAGCCAAACAGGUAGGGUCAAGCUGAAAAAAAAUCCACGGGGCCUUCUGCUCUCGGCUCCGCUUUGGAAGAACCUAGAAGCAAUUUGUUGUCUCUGCUGCUAUGUAAAUUCAGAAAAGGGCGAUGGCGGAGAUCAGAAAACAAGACAGCAAACAGUCUCCGGUCCGCUGCAGGGACAUCCGUCCGUCCGUCCGUCAAGACAUUCCAAGCGCCGUCGGUUGGAGACGGUUGCCUCAGGAUAAGCAGGACUUCAGAUCUGACCCUCACCCUCAACAUUUUUGGAACUGGAUGAAAGUGCCUUAUCUGAACAUGUAAGAAUAUUUCUGGCACCGCAGUCCAAAGACUAAAAUUUAGUUAAAAUAAAUACUCAGAGAAGGAAAGGAAGCGGUGAGGUUAAAGGUUUGAUCAGAUAGGAGCCUCUCUGCUCGCCCCCUCGGCCCGGCCAGGGUUUGAUUCUGUCCGGUUUUCAUGUUCCGAUCUAGGCAGCGGCCAACACAGAGACUCCCUUUCCACGCUUCCUGCUUUUGUGUCAGAGGGGAGAGGCUGCCGAUCCCAAUGAUUUAUGCCGACAAAUACAAACAAACAAGCACAAUGGAAUUAAACCAGCCAGUUUGCAGUGUCUAACCAGAUACGUGUGUUUUCCACUCUUCUUAUGCACCAGCCUUCGUUACGGGUAGUAUCUGAUUCUAUUCAAGCGUCAUAAUUAUCACCCUGUCAUAGAGAAAGGUUCUAAAAUAGUAGCCUGGGAAUAAAUUUGCUGUUUUGGGGAAAAGACCUUGGGCGAGAUAGAUACAUGCUUACACACACACACAUACUUUUUUUUAAAAGAAAAGAAAUUCGGUUAUUCUAGCAUAGAUCACAUUUAAGGACCAGGGUUUUAGUCACCUGGUGACUUCCCAGGUGGGUCCCCUCGGCGGCUGGAGGUCACAAGGAGGACUUCCCGCGUGGGUGUGAAGACGGGGUUCGUGGCCGUCCUCACCCCCUGAGCGUUUAGGUAACAAUCCCUCGUUGUCCCUGCAGUUCUCAGGGUUUGCAUGGCUGACUGUUCCUAAGCAGAGGUCACCUGGUGACCCCGAGUUCCUCUGAGGCAGGACAGCAGCAGCCCUCAGGGAAAUGAAGCAUGUAGUUACCUUAGCCAGACAUUCCGUCUCCGCUUGGUGACUGAGUGACUGAGGAAGCCUGACAUCCCCUGGCUGCUCUUCACCCUCAUGCUCAGGGACUGCGGUGCUCGGAGCACUGGUUCAGCACCGCCUGGCCAGGGCGAGGGUGGCCAGGCAGUUGUCUGUACUGCUCUCUGCAAGAACUGAGCUUCCUUUGAUGAGGUGCCAUGCAAAUACCACUUUAUAACACACACCUUCUCACUAUGGAGAUCCAACAGGUCACAAAGUUACAGUAAGGAAGCUUUCCCCCUGACAAUGAGCUUUACAAGUUUUUUAAAGUCUCUUUUUAAAGGGUAUGAGAACAUAUGCACAGAAACUACUUAGUCCUUGAAAAAGCUGCCAUCAUUGUUUGGGAAGUGGGAGCUUUUAAUGCGAUUGGGAAGUGGGGAGAUUGUUAUGACCAUUUGUUCAGAAUCCCAAAGUGGGAGACAUGUUGUAAAAUAUUUGGACUACGGUUACGGGACCCACAGAACAGACUGUUUAACAUCAAGAAUGUUCCAGGAGAUUAAAACAAGUGAUUGCCUCAGUAAUAGCUGAAAUACUUAAUAUUUUGGUUUCCUUUAGUUUUGUCUAAUCUGUGUAAAUCUUUUCCCUAACGAAGUAAAAUAAAAAUGAAUCAUUGAAAACA